UACGUAGGGCGCAAGCGUUGUCCGGAAUUAUUGGGCGUAAAGAGCUCGUAGGCGGUCUGUCGCGUCUGCCGUGAAAACCCGAGGCUUAACCUCGUGGCUUGCGGUGGAUACGGGCAGACUAGAGGUAGGUAGGGGAGAAUGGAAUUCCAGGUGUAGCGGUGAAAUGCGUAGAUAUCUGGAGGAAUACCGGUGGCGAAGGCGGCAUCCUGGACCGGCAUUGACGCUGAGGAGCGAAAGCCAGGGGAGCAAACGGG
rnacentral:rRNA from 1 species